CGGUAACUUGCUGUUUGCACGGACGUACAUAUCCCGCAGUGAGAUGGCCACAACGUUACCUCGGAAGACAGACCGAUUGUAGAGAUGAAAUAAAAGAGGCCCGAUCAGUUUCCCUUGUCCGGUGAGGUUGAACGACACCGACUGUCCCAGUUUCGCUCCAGUCAGCCCGGAAAUUAAAGUGAGGGAGAGAUCCAGAGCCUGAAAGUGACCGCGGACGUGCUGGGAAGUGGCUGCACCUCAUCGGCGGGCAGGGUGGCUACCAGCAGAUCUGGGACCGAGUCUCCCUGGACGUCUGGGAGUAACACCGCCUGGGAUUCGAUGUUCCUCAGCAGCGUGGACCACAAGUUCUUCCCUGUGAAGUCAAAUGAAAACUCUUUGACGUCGGCCAUCGUGCUUCUGUUCGACACAUACAAGAUGUGGGAUGCUUCCAUAACAGUAAGUG